AAAAAGCGGUUAGUCCGCCAAUAGAGAAGAGUAACAACAAACAUGGAAAGAGGAAUUCAGCAGCAAUUGGUUUCCCUUGGUCAUCCACACAGGGAGACAGUCAGCUCGCCAGGAGCCGUCAGAGUUCAGCGUCUUGCCUGGGGGACACCAGGGAAACCUCGAGACUCAGGAGGAGCCGGGGAUCGUACCAGCAACCUUUCGGUUACCAUCAACCCACUCUACCUCCGGAGCAACCGUCGCCCCAACGCGCGUCCAUGUGGUACGCGUCCAGACGCGUGGACAUGCAGGGCUAUAGCAUUGCUUCUGCUUCUGGUGAACUAACAAGAAUAAAGUGGUAGCCGUACUUAGAGUUUUAAAAGGAGUUCAGCGUGUGAACCGUGGGAGGCCUUCACAGAACACUGUGAGCAUCAGGCUUCUUCCUCCUGGCGACCAAUCAGAACACAAUGAUCUCUCGCGGUGAGAGAUGGUUCUAAGGGCCGUUGGCUGCCUUCCGGGCGCCGUUCCCUCCUUCUAUCACCCGUUUUGAAACAACUAGCAGUUUGGCGCAGCAGAAGAAAGACAGCAUUCAAUUUCACCCUUUUUCCUGUCUUUGGUUGUUAUUUUUUGCUGUUGGCGCUCCUGUGCCUCCGGGACAAUGGCCAGAGGCCAGCUGGGUAGCCACGGUGUUGAAGAGAGGCUCAGUACUUCUAUUGUGGCAUCCCACCUGAAUGGGAUUCUGAGGCGACUGAAACUGAGACUUUCAAAGGCUCCUAUAGUUCUCGGAAGGGCCAAGCUAUCCAGUUGGUAGAACGCUUCGUAAGCGACUGAUACUUCUAGGUAAGGUCAUUCUAGGAUGGUCCCGUUUCAGUAGGAAGCAUGAGAAACACCCUAGAUGGGAAUAGCUUGAUUUAGGAAACAUUUGAAGAACAUUGGAUAGUGUAUCACGUGACAUGUGUAGAACAAUAAAACUAAUAGAACGUUUUCUAAAUUGAUUCAGCCUCACUGUUUGGUAUACAUGUUCAUGAGUUGAAACCUUUUUUCUCAUUAAAGUCUGCAAUUAUCACCUUAAUGGCUGCACACCUAAUUAUCUACUUUUAUCUUUAGUAUGAUCGUUUACGUUAAUGCUUCCUAAAAUUCCUUACUCAACCUCUCUCACACUUCCACACAUACACAAACAGGAUUUAAAUCUGACUUCUAUAAUUGUUAUAGGGUACACAACAGAAACCAUCAAACUGUCAGUACUCCCACAACAUCCA